UAGAUAAAAGUCCGCUGGUUUGGGUUUUUAGUUGUUAACUAAAUAUAUACGGGAUCGAGGCCCGUUGAUCUAG
rnacentral:tRNA from 1 species